GGCCUUGUGGCCUAAUGGAUAAGGCGUCGGACUUCGGAUCCGAAGACUGCAGGUUCGAGUCUUGCCAGGCUCG
rnacentral:tRNA from 1 species